rnacentral:rRNA from 1 species
AGCGAACGCUGGCGGCAGGCCUAACACAUGCAAGUCGAACGGACCCUUCGGGGUUAGUGGCGGACGGGUGAGUAACACGUGGGAACGUGCCUUUAGGUUCGGAAUAGCUCCUGGAAACGGGUGGUAAUGCCGAAUGUGCCCUUCGGGGGAAAGAUCUAUCGCCUUUAGAGCGGCCCGCGUCUGAUUAGCUAGUUGGUGAGGUAACGGCUCACCAAGGCGACGAUCAGUAGCUGGUCUGAGAGGAUGACCAGCCACACUGGGACUGAGACACGGCCCAGACUCCUACGGGAGGCAGCAGUGGGGAAUCUUGCGCAAUGGGCGAAAGCCUGACGCAGCCAUGCCGCGUGAAUGAUGAAGGUCUUAGGAUUGUAAAAUUCUUUCACCGGGGACGAUAAUGACGGUACCCGGAGAAGAAGCCCCGGCUAACUUCGUG